GGGGGGGGGGGGGGGGGGGCUUAGCGGGGGCGGGGCGGGGGGAGGGGCGGUGGGGGGGGCGGGCGGGGGGGUAGCGCGGAAAGAACUUGCCUCACAGUGAGGGACAACAUUGGGAAGCGAAUGCUCAUACCUGCUAUUAUGAUGUUAGGGCAUCCUAGAAUUAUGAAAGCUAUAUGCGCUGUGAGAGGGCUGUGCGUCCCAUUAGCUAGUUGGAGAGGUAACGGCUCACCAAGGCGAUGAUGGGUAGCCGGCCUGAGAGGGUGAACGGCCACCAGGGGACGGAGACACGGCCCUUACUCCUACGGGAGGCAGAAGUGGGGAAUAUUGGACAAUGGACCAAAAGUCUGAUCCAGCAAUUCUGUGUGCACGAUGACGUUUUUCGGAAUGUAAAGUGCUUUCAGUUGGGAAGAAAAAAAUGACGGUACCAACAGAAGAAGUGACGGCUAAAUACGUG
rnacentral:rRNA from 1 species